GACGAACGCUGGCGGCGUGCUUAACACAUGCAAGUCGAACGGGAUUUAGUAGACAGAAGCCUCGGUGGAAGAUUACUAAUGAGAGUGGCGAACGGGUGAGUAACGCGUGAGCAACCUGCCUAUGACAGUGGGAUAGCCUCGGGAAACCGGGAUUAAUACCGCAUAAAAUCGUAGAAACACAUGUUUUAACGGUCAAAGAUUUAUCGGUCAUAGAUGGGCUCGCGUCUGAUUAGCUAGUUGGUGAGAUAACAGCCCACCAAGGCGACGAUCAGUAGCCGGUCUGAGAGGAUGAACGGCCACAUUGGAACUGAGACACGGUCCAAACUCCUACGGGAGGCAGCAGUGGGGAAUAUUGCACAAUGGGGGAAACCCUGAUGCAGCGACGCCGCGUGAACGAAGAAGGUACUCGUAUCGUAAAGUUCUGUCCUAUGGGAAGAUAAUGACAGUACCAUAGAAGAAGCUCC
rnacentral:rRNA from 1 species